UGAUUAUACAAUGAUGGUUAUUAUAUUGUAAAGGAAAUUCAUUCUCAUAAUUUGAAAUGUCUCUUAAAAUAUUUGCAUUUGACUGUGAAGUGAUUUAGAGAAAUUCCCUGAUAUUUAAUAUUCUAUUUCUUUUUUAUUCUCAAGUUCAGAAAGAAGUUUCCUAUUAUACCAAAUGCAUAGCCAUGCAGGAAAGGAGAGACUUGUCGCUAGAAAGCGACAGUACACCAUUGAAUCUUUGGGACGAGAAUCCUCAUAAGAAUAGGACCAAUGAAUGGCACUGACAUGAAGCUGAAAGAAGUUUUCUCAUUUGAAAAAUGGAAAAAAGCUCCUCCUUUAUCAGUCACAUGUGAGGUAUCCAGAAGGAAGAAAGAACCAAGCAGUAGGCUGCCUGAAAGAACUUGGACUGAAGGAAGCUCAUUUUCUGCUGAAGGCUCUACAUACAUAUUAAAUCAUUGAAAAUGUUUUAUUAUGUGGCUUAGUAAAUACGGCCAGUGUCAGAAUAUCAGUACUGCAGUGCAUUAUUUUCCAAUUAAAACACUAAUAUUCAGGCUUUUUUUUCUCUUUUUUAUCAGUUUUUCAAUAGGAAGAUGAUGAUGUAAAAUCUCUGUAGGAAAAUGAAGAGGACAGUAGGAAUGAUGUGAGGAUAUUGAGAAUGAGAAAAGAGAUAUUUGUUUAAAAUAAUAUAAACACCAAAAGAACCAUAUAUCUAAAUAAUAUACUAAGAGACUGAUUUGUUUUCAAGCUACAGAUAUCAUCUUACAAUCCAGACAUGAAUAUGUUUCCCAUUCUGUCUCCUUUGAUUCUCUUAAAGAAACUAGCAAAAUUCGGUGCUUAAAGAACCAUCCGUGAGUGAAGUGGUGUAGGAUCCCUCUGGGAGAAUAGGAGGGAUUAUAUUUCUAUCCCCCUGACCUCCCCCAUCCCAGAGAGACAGGACAACCUCAAUUCUAGGUCAACCUGUACUCUAAUGUAGCUUACUAAAAAUUUUGCUAGCAGUGUGAG
rnacentral:lncRNA from 1 species